rnacentral:rRNA from 1 species
ACUAAAACUAGCCCAACUACACUUAAAUUUAAUAAAUUUACUAAACCUUAAACUAAACCAUUUACUACCCAGUAAUAGUAUAGGAGAUAGAAAUUCCACUUGGAGCUAUAGAUAAAGUACCGUAAGGGAAAGAUGAAAGAACAGUUAAUAGUAAAUAAAAGCAAAGCUUAACACUUGUACCUUUUGCAUAAUGACUUAACUAGACCAACUUGACAAAAAGAAUUUUAGUCAGUAACCCCGAAACCAGACGAGCUACUCACAAACAGUUAUAUUAGAACACACUCAUCUAUGUAGCAAAAUAGUGAGAAGAUUUGUGAUUAGAGGUGAAAAGCCUAUCGAGCCUGGUGAUAGCUGGUUGUCCGAGAAAGAAUUUUAGUUCAACUUUAAAUUUACUCAACGUAUUCAAAACUUAAUGUAAUUUUAAAAUUUAAUCUAAAGAGGGACAGCUCUUUAGAACAGGCUACAACCUUUCGUAGAGAGUAAANAAAACUUAACCCCAUAGUUGGCCCAAAAGCAGCCACCAAUUAAGAAAGCGUUCAAGCUCAACAGAUCCUAUUAUACUAAUACCAAACCUCUCAUGAUAACCUCCUACUAGCUAACCGGACUAAUCUAUUAUUAAAUAGAAGCACUACUGUUAAUAUAAGUAACAAGAAUUAUUAUUCUCCUAGCAUAAACCUAUAUCAGAUCGGAUGCCCACUGAUAAUUAACCAAAAGUGUNNAAAAAUUAAUCAUAGUCUAGAUAAUAUUUACCUAAACAACUGUUAAUCCAACACAGGUUUGCACUAAGGAAAGAUUAAAAAGAGCAAAAGGAACUCGGCAAAAUUAACCCCGCCUGUUUACCAAAAACAUCACCUCUAGCAUAACCAGUAUUAGAGGCACUGCCUGCCCAGUGACAUAUGUUCAACGGCCGCGGUAUCCUGACCGUGCAAAGGUAGCAUAAUCAUUUGUUCUCUAAUUAAGGACUUGAAUGAAAGGCCACACGAGGGUUAAACUGUCUCCUGCUCUCAAUCAGUGAAAUUGACCUUCCCGUGAAGAGGCGGGAAUAUAAUAACAAGACGAGAAGACCCUAUGGAGCUUAAAUUCAUUAACCCAAAUAAAUCUUAUAANNNNNNNNNNNNNNNNNNNNNNNNNNNNNNNUUAUGGGUUAUAGAUUUCGGUUGGGGUGACCUCGGAGUAUAAUUCAACCUCCGAAUAAUUUUAGCCUAGACUUUACCAGUCAAAACAACUCAUAUAGUUAAUUGACCCAAACUAGUUUGAUCAAUGGAACAAGUUACCCUAGGGAUAACAGCGCAAUCCUAUUAUAGAGUCCAUAUCGACAAUAGGGUUUACGACCUCGAUGUUGGAUCAGGACAUCCCAAUGGUGUAACCGCUAUUAAAGGUCCGUUUGUUCAACGGUUAAAGUCCUACGUGAUCUGAGUUCAGACCGGAGUAAUCCAGGUCGGUUUCUAUCUGUUUAACAUUUCUCCCAGUACGAAAGGACAAGAGAAAUAGAGCCAACUCCACAGAGCGCUCUUAAUUUAAUAGAUGCUAUAAACUUAAUCUGAUAUAUAAUUUCAUACCCCACCCUAGACCAGGG